CCAGGCCUUCGCGCAGGAGGGGUGUUCAGUGAGUUUGCAUCGAAUUCAAUGAAAUGAAUGAAAUACUUCCGUGAAUAGAAAACAUUUUGAGGGUAAGUCGGGGGAAAAUCCGGUUGUAAUACUGACUCAAAAUCAAACGGUGAUUCGGAAGCUUUAUGUCCGAGUGAGGACAAGGACUGGAGGGUCAGGGGAAACAAGGCCAGCGGGGUGGCGAGGGGGAGGGGGCUUGGGGCCACAUCGUGUUUUCCACGACUGUGGUUUGUGCAGUGCACGUCGGAAGAGGAGGCCUCCCCAUGAGUGGAGCACCCACUGGGUGCCAUCCUCCAACCUCAGAAUGCAUCCUCCUCCCGGGAGCCUGCGAGGGAGGCUUUGUGACCCCGUUUUACAGAAGAGAAAGUCAAGGCCCAGGGAGUCUGGAUGUGUCCCAGCAGCAGGGCCAGAACUAACCCAGACCUGCCGCCUCUGGGCUGUCCUUCUCCCUGUAGAAAUCCCACCAGAGGUGAGACAGCGGGGCGACGACACCUUUGCAGACACAGCUGUGGGCUGUGGAGCUUCGAAGCCAUCUGGUUUCUGGAUCUUGGGACCCCCCUGCCCCAGGCCAGGGAAGGAGGGGAGGAGGCUUUGGGGGACUCUUUAUAUCCUCCCACCUUGCUCUCCUCAACUCAGCAUCCUUGUCCCAACCUCUGCAAAGCCCAGGGGUUCGCUGUGACAGUAAUAACAGCAGCGACAAGAAUGAUCACUGCCAUCUACGGAUACUUGCCGGAUACUUGCUGGGCAGGGGCCAAGCUUCCUCUGCUUUCUCCUUGGUCUUGGGCUCCACAGUGACCCCCUGAGGUAGGUAUGCUAUUGUCGUCAUUUUGUCGCAGAAGGAAUCAGAGAGGUUAAGUGGUUAGCCGGGGGUCACACAGCAUCUAGCUGGGGUCAGAAGGGACCUGUAGCCCACUCUCCUCCCUUGAUCUCAAUGGCUGAGUGACUCCAACUUCAGUGACCUCAUUUGAGGUGCUGGUAAAAAUGCAAGCUCCUGGGCCCCACCUGGACUCACUAAGUCAGAAUGCAAGGGGAGCAAGGCUCCGGAAGCCGUGCUUCUGAAGAGUGCUGCAGGUGAUUCUUGCACUCAGGCGUGCCUGGAAAAUCUUGCACCAGGGCUGUCGAGGGAACUUAGCCAGAGAGGGCUAGAAAGUGCCCAGAUGGCAACAUCUGGCUUCUAAAACUGCGGGUCAUGGAGGAGGGGAGGAGGGCUGUCUCAACGUUUGGGAGAGGGUGGGUGGGAGGCUGCACCGCCAGAGGAGGGAGGGAGCCUUUCCAUCCCUCCUUCCCUUCCCCGGGGCCCCUUUGUCCAGUGCCCGGAUUGAAGGAGGGGUCAGCAGCCUCCUUGGAUAAGCCCUGGCAGGUGCAUCUGUCAGCCCGGAGGGGAGGGCGGGUGGAGGUGGCAGGUGGAUGGACACCUCCGCUCCUCUCCCUGAGGUCAGGCGAGAGCUCUUCCUGACUGGCCUCCCCAGGCUCCUGCUGGCCCCCUCCCCUACCCCCCUCCCCACCGCCCC
rnacentral:lncRNA from 1 species